AACCUUCUGUAUCCGUGCUGAGAUUUUGUCAGUGAUCAAACCACUGGCGUUGGCUGAUGCAACUUCUCAAAUAAGUGAGGUG
rnacentral:pre_miRNA from 1 species